AAUGGAUGAAAUAUGAAGUUUUAUUAAAAGAAAAAGGGGUGAAAAGAACAAAGUUUUGUCCAUCUUUGUUCAUCAUAGCUAAAAGUUAGAGAAGAGAAAGGAGAGGAGAAAGCUCUUGAGUAUUCGGUCAUUAGGAGGAGAAAAAUUGAAGGCAGUUCGUGUGUGGAUCUCGUCAGUAUAUCGUCGCAAACAGGAAACCCCCAACCAUAGUGGGCUUGGAGCUGUGAGGGAAUUCGGAGUGGCCACCCGUUCUGAAAGUUUGAUUUUCUUCUGGUGAACUGGACAUCCUUUUAAUUACGUUUGAGGUUUUAGGCUUUUAAAUGUAAUAAGGCCGCUUAUUUAUUUUUGAUGGUUUUUAAUAUGUAUUACUAAGAUAGGUAAUACUUAUUUUAA